CUCAUGGAUGGGGAAAUAUCCAUCAAUGCUUACACAACAAUAGUGUUUGUUGUGUCACGCAACGGUCGAGAUACAUCCAUUUUUCUAAUUAGCGGCUAGGAUACUACCUCCCCUCAUCUAAACUUAAUUGAUCCAACGGUUAAUGUUUUCUGUCCCAAUUAAUUCCUUCUCUGCAUAGACUUUGCUUUUCUCAUUUGUUCUCUUUCCAUCUUCUUCCAUAACGCUGCAGAUUCUCAAAUGCACGAAAGUUUCUUAACGAAGCACUAGCAAAUUAAAAUUCUUCGGCGCUAAAGAUCGAUCCAGUUUCCGUGUACGAAGGAAAACGGGUCCUUUAUGCAUUCAAACUGUGCUCCAUUUAUAAAGUCUUUCAUUAUUCGAAUGCAACCUCAUCGCACCUCUUCGAAUAGAAUUCCGUGGGUUACAGGAGUCAAAGGAGCGCCAUAGAAUAUGACCUAAACAUUUCUGGAUUUACGAUUUUCUGUGACAGUGGGAAUUGAUCUGCCAAUCAGUAAGUAUGGACAUCAAAGGAUAUUGAAUCUUAUGGAAAAGGAAGAGAUUUACACAGACUAAUUUACUGUACUGCUAAUGUUGUCGAGGUAAUAAUAUCAUUGGUAUCUUCUAAAUCUACCUUAUGGUUUCUUUAAAAAAAGUUGGUUGUGGGUUUGAAGAAUCUUAUGUUGUUCUUCGGAUUAUAGGUUUCGCUACUUUAAUUUCCUUCACUAUCUUACUGCAACUAAUUUUGUCGAGGUAUUUAAAAUAAAUAAAUGAGAAAUUUGGAAAAAUGCCCCCAAUAUGAGAUACAAUGUUGGAAAUCUGCCCCAACGUUAAAAAUAGUUGGAAAAAUGUCCAUUCCGUUGAAUUUUGAAGGAUGUAUUUGUCUUUUUAUUCACGUGCGUGGACUCACACAUGUGACUUAACUGAAUUUUUGACGGAAUGGACAUUUUUCCAAGUUUUUAAAUGAUGAGGCAGAUUUCCAACAUUGUACCUCCUAUUGAGACAUUUUCCCAAAUUUCCCUGAACAAAUUGAUAGGGUUAUUUCAGUUUCCUCCAUAUAAUUAAAGAAACCGUUUUCAAUUGUUGAUGAGUGGAAUCAUCAACUCUAACAGGUAUGAAACACUUUUUGCUUAUAUUCAAAUCCCAAAAUUUGAUUUAAGAUGUUAAUCGGUUUUGUUUUUUAACUUUGUUGUUUUGGAUUUACACUGCUUUUAGGGCCCACCAAGUUCUGGAAAGUAUAUAGCUUUUUCGUUGGAAAGCUUCCAAAAAGAACUUGAAGCUUUGGUAGAUUCAAACAUGGCUGGAUACAUGUGAAGCAAGAAAAUUAUGGAGACCAACUCAGAGAAGUCGAUUAUGGAGGAACUCCAAAAGAGAGUUGAUGCUGAUAAGAAUGAUAAGUGAUAGAUACGGAUUGAACAUUGAUGAAGAGGUUGGAGAUGCUGAGAUGGACACUGAUAUGCCACAAAGUUAUUAACCAACUAGAUGCAAGAUGGGAAAAACAAGCAGUAAAGAAAGAUUACCUUGCGAUUCAGCAACAGCCCUCAUAAGCACGUAUUAAGGUUUCUUUCUUGAGGAACAUCAAAUUCUAAUCCAAUGCCUCUGUCGUUGCCUGAUUUGGGCUUUCUCAUUACAGCGAGAAAGAUAUAGUAGGCGUGUUAAUUUUGGACCAACAUUCAACAACUUCAUAGAACUGGUGCGCAUCCAUGCUGGAUACGUGAACUCACCACUAAUGAUCCUAGGUACGUGUUCUUUACCCUUCUUUACUUCACACUAAUGAUCUUAACCACAGGACGAUUUAUCGUGUUAGGGGGUAAGCAAAUGGAGAUUAGCAUCUGGGGUUCAACAACUGCACAACAGUUAGGGAGUGAUCCAAUUAGUCGAGACUCCAAAGAAGGUCCUGCAGCAGUUGCUGUUUGCUCCACUUUUGUGAAGAACUACCAAGAGAAACUCAACCUCUCCUCCACCAAUGCCACCUGGAGUUUCUGAAUCCGAGAAAUGUUAAUCCAGUUGAAAGACUACAUAGGUGAAUCUUGAUAGCAUCGUCGAUAGCUACCACACAUCCUUGCUAUACAGAAAACCAGUACGCAACUGUUCCAAGUUGGAGGAUCAACCAUUAUAGUUUAGUUGAUUCAGUAGACGGAUAGAACCGUUACAAUGUCAGGAAAUUGUAACUAAUGUCAGGAAAUUGUAACCGUUACAGCAAAGAGAUUAUGGUCCAAAAGUUCUGUUUUUAAUAACUUAUGUGGGUUUUUGUGUGGGUGAGAAUUUAGGAUUGACAUCUACUUUUGUUAUUUUGGUUGGGAUCAUUUUCAUGCUAGAGUUGCUAGGCUGAAAAUUUGGUCAAUUUUUUUUUUUUUGCCAAUUAGAAUGUCUGCUAAUUAUAAAACAUUACACAAUUUCUAGCAGCUGUCAAUAUCAGACUAGUAUACAUGACAGAUUAUA